GACGUACGGGUGCGUAACACGUAUGCAACCUACCCUUUACAGGCGGAUAGCUCGGGGAAACUCGGAUUAACCCGUCAUAAUAUAAUUGGAUGGCAUCAUUUGAUUAUUAAAUCUACGGAGGUAAAGGAUGGGCAUGCGUCUGAUUAGUUAGUUGGCGGUGUAACGGACCACCAAGACGAUGAUCAGUAGGGAACUGAGAGGUUGAUCCCCCACACUGGCACUGAGAUACGGGCCAGACUCAUACGGGAGGCAGCAGUAGGGAAUAUUGGUCAAUGGACGGAAGUCUGAACCAGCCAUGCCGCGUGCAGGAAGAAGGCCUUCUGGGUUGUAACCUGCUUUUGCCAGGGGCUAAAACGCCCAUGCGUGGGAAAUUGAAAGUACCUGGUGAAUAAGCCACGGCUAACUACGUGCCAGCCGUCGCGG
rnacentral:rRNA from 1 species